UUCUGAUGAAUCCGCUCGAGCUGAGACCGAGGUUGAAUCACUUAAAACUUCAGAACUGGUUCCGAGGAGACGGGACUAAAGCAGGGACAGAGAGUGGGCCCGGAUUUGCAAAAUGAAAAGGAAAGCGGAUCCGAACUCGAGCACUGGUUCCGAGCAGACGGGACUAAAGCAGGGACAGAGAGUAGGCCUGGAUUUGCCACAUGAAAAAGGAAAGUUUUACCCAAGUAAGACAUCGGGUGCGCAGGAGACCGUAUCUCGGUCAAAAAAAGGGAGAAAUGUGGGGUAAAGCACAAGAUCGGAAAACAUUCGGCUGGUUUUUUUAUUUUUCUCCUCACACCUCUCUCUCCAGCUGGACGUGAGGGAUUGUUUCGGAUAGACUGCCAUCUUUCCGACCACGGGAUACGGCGCCCCGGCCGCAUCCGCUCCCGCUAAAGGCCCCACGCCCUGGAGUCCGGUGACAUCACAGUGUCAGCGCGUUCCUCGACGGAGCAGGGGCUCGGGGGGCCGUCGCCGGGUAACGGUGAGGUUCGAUGAAAUGCCUCGGGUGGAAGAUGGAGAGUCGACGGGCUCCCCCUUUCCCCGGAAAAUGCCCUUCGGGCCGAGCGGCCCUGGCUCGGAUCUUCUCCGUUCUCUUCCUGCUCUACGGCUCUGGGGAGACGCAAACUCUUCGACUGCCCCGCCGCCCGGAUAUUCCGGAAGAGAAACCCCCGAAACCCCCUCCCCGGAAGGAUAUCCUAAAGAUGGGCAUUUGGGCCUGCUUGGUGGUCAUGGGAUUUCUGCUGAUCAUCGUCACAGUUUUCCAGAUACUGACUUUUUGUCAUAUUACCCAGCCGAUGAAAAAUUGCCUAAAGAGACUUCGGAGAAGCGAUAAGUCGCGUUCGGAUUGUAAACGCGAGGCGGGGGGACGGACGGACUCUAACGUGAGCUCGAGCGCGGGAGAGUUCCCCCUGGGAGAAUCCAUCCCGCCCUCCCCCGCCAGCCAGGAGAGCAACGUCUCGUCGGAAGCCCGGUAUUCUCCUAACGGCGCGGGCUCUUGUGAUGAAACCCCCGGGACGAGCCCUCCACCCCGGAGCGUUUCCGACUUCUCCCCCGGAGGCGGCGUCUGCGCGCCGGAACCCGGCGAGGACGGGGACCUGCGGGGGGAGAGCCCGGCCGAUGCAGGCGGCCGGGCGGGAGAAAGCGACUCCCCGCCGUGGAAAAUCGGGCAGGGCAAUUCGGAGUGGGAAAAUUACCAGGACUUCACCCAGGGCCGCUCUCCCUCUUUCGCCGAGGCGGCCGAGUCGGAAGAGCGGCACCGGUGAGCGUUCCGCGCCGCCUGGAAAACGUCAUCGCGCCCGGCGUCUUUCACCUCUUCCUAGAGAAAAUCCCGGAGGGCACCAUCUCGCUAUCUGACCCGAUCGUAGAUACGAUUCCGCUCCCGGCCGUCGGAUCCACCUGUCCCGGGACGCGUGGCCGCCUCUCGGAGGCCCCCCCCCCCCCCCCCGCUCCUGGCUGAAGAGAAGGGCUCUCCCCCCACCGGCGGGCCCCGGGCUCGUGUUCCUGGUCGAGGAUCUCACCUUUACCGUAAUAAAGCUAGGCCGUUUUGAAAAUUUUAAAAGAACGACCACCGGCUCUCCGUGUUUGCUUGGCCUGUUGUCGAGCUGUGUUCGGCGCUGACGCCGAUUACAGGUGGGACGUCGUCCGACGGAUGCCCAAAAGCCCUUUCCCUCCAAACUCCCCGAGUCACGUCGUCAGCUUCUCGGUGCGGGGUUUUGGGGUGUUGGUUGGUCCCCCUGCUCCCACGGACCCAUCCCUUCAGAUAUACGUGUCCUCCUCUUCACCCGGCACAGAUUUCUCCUUUUCCAAAUGCCCAGUGACGAAAAAGAGGGAAUGUUCAGUUGAGCCGUAACCCGUGUGGAAGUAGCCCCCGUUUCCGGGGGUCGCUUACCCACGCCGGGUUGAGAAGCCAUUUGGCUGAAUCGCACCGGUCACGUCCUCAAAUGGCAGCCCCCUUGAAAAAGCGCGGCCUCCGGACCGUCCGUAACUCGCGUUUUGAACUCGGCCACGGGCUGUUCGGAAGCAUCGCCGCCCCGACGCUCCUCUCUCCUGGUUCUUUUCUCGUCUCACUGGCCGUUCAUUCUCGGUCUCAUUCGUGGGCGCCGCCUCCACCUCCCACCCCCUGACUGCGGGGCCCCCUCGGUGUUGUUCUGCGUCCCCCUCUCCUCCGCAUCCGCUCCCUUGGAGGGCUCGUUCGCUCCCGUGACUUCAACUACACCCUCCCCGUCCACCGUCUUGCAUCUCCUGCCGCCUUCUCCGCUCCUCUAACGUUAACCUCGAUCGAUCUCGCCGCCGGCCCCGCGCCCUCGUCCUCCCU
rnacentral:lncRNA from 1 species